rnacentral:tRNA from 1 species
UGUAGCUCAGAGCAGAGUAUCUGCCUAGCAUGCAUGAAACCCUGGGUUCAAUCCCCAGCA